UACGGAGGGAGCUAGCGUUGUUCGGAAUUACUGGGCGUAAAGCGCACGUAGGCGGCUACUCAAGUCAGAGGUGAAAGCCCGGGGCUCAACCCCGGAACUGCCUUUGAAACUAGGUAGCUAGAAUCUUGGAGAGGUCAGUGGAAGUUCCGAGUGUAGAGGUGAAAUUCGUAGAUAUUCGGAAGAACACCAGUGGCGAAGGCGACUUACUGGACACGUAUUGACGCUGAGGUGCGAAAGCGUGGGGAGCAAACAGG
rnacentral:rRNA from 1 species